CUCGUGUGUGUGCAUGUGAGGGAGCGGGGACUGGUGUGUGCACUAGUGUGUGCAUGUGAGGGAGCGGGGACUGGUGUGUGCACUAGUGUGUGCAUGUGAGGGAGCGGGGACUGGUGUGUGCACUAGUGUGUGCAUGUGAGGGAGCGGGGACUGGUGUGUGCACUCGUGUGUGUGCAUGUGAGGGAGCGGGGACUGGUGUGUGCACUAGUGUGUGUGCAUGUGAGGGAGCGGGGACUGGUGUGUGCAUAGACGUGUGUAUGUGGACACACGGAGGAGAGCAGGUGUGUGUGCGUGCGUGGCACAGAGGCCUCUGCCUCUGCUGGACCCGGUGGCCUCCAAGCCCACGACGGGCCUCCGCCCAGAUUCCCAACAAUUCUGGGCGUCCUCGGUGCCCACCGGACGCAGCCUGGCCCGGGACUCGGGAGGGAAAGCAGGGACAGGAAAACUCCAGAAACAGUUUCAUUGCAUGGUGAGCCUGGUGGUCCCGGAGUCUUGGAGACUUAAUCCACCCUGGAGGGCCCCGCCGCUAGGGCCAGGCCCGAGCACCCCAGCCAAGGGCGGGCUAGGCCAGAGAAGAGUCCGAAGUUCAGGGCCACAGCAGGCGGCAGAGGCUGGUGCGCGCCGAGGGUAAGGAACAUCUACAGAGGACUUGAGGAGCUGACCAAAGGCCUCUCUGCCUGUGCGGUGUAUUAUUACAUGACAGCCCACUUUGCACGUUUUAUGCUGAUUUUGGCCACUCCUGCCCCUCAGGCAACGCCGCACCCCCUAAAGCUCUGGUCACUUGGCUUAAACUGCUUACAAGUUAGCACCCGUUUCUUCUUUGAAGACUACCAGAAACGCUCACUUUCUGCGAGCUGGUUCACACAAAUAGAUACUUAGAGAACACUGAUGUUCCUCAAAUGGCCCUAUCUUCCUAGGUCCGUUCCUUCUGUUUCACAGGGAUUCUUUAUGUGUUCCUAAAUGUCAGUAUUUGAGCCCUGAUGGCAACAGUGACACCCUCCCAGCCUCUGGGGACUUCUCCCUGAGACCUGGGGGCUCCAGUUAGGAGGAUACACACGUAGGGUCCAAAAUUGGGGUCUUAAACGUCUUCCCCACAAAUUCAGGAUUCUGAUAAUUCAACAAUGUUUAUAUGGCUGAUAACUAAUAUUAUUCAAAGAAGUUUCUGCACAAAAAUCACUGUACUGAGAUACUCCGAACGCGCACGAGGCACUGCGGCAAUGAAUGCUCACGGUGCUCUGUGUGGCUUAGGAAAAGGGCAAAAAGUUACUCCCUUUUUCCUCUCCAUAGCCACAUGUUCCACAGAAAGCCCUCGUUUCUCUUAACAAAAGUUAACAGAAUUCCCUCUAAAAUUUUGGUUGAUGAUCCAAAUAUUUUUAGCCACUGCCUUGCCUUGCAGUCUCUCGAUUGGGUUGCUGAAAUGCAAACUUCCUAAAUAAGCCCAUAACCCUCGGAAUUUAUCUAAGCCUUUGGCCUCCCUGUAUCUCUGGAGCCUGGGCUGUUUAGGAGAUAGGGUUCUUUGAAUGAUGCACUCGUUCAGGUGUUGACUUGCACCACAUGCCAGAGGCUGGGUUCAGCCCUAUGGUUGGGGCCAGAUACUGUCUUGUUUUGUGCAUGUGGGCACCAGAUUCAGCUACCGUCCCAAAUAUUACAUGGAAAUGGCCUGUGCUGUGUUUUACUAGAAGUGAACGUGUCCUUCCCAGGAAAAGUCUUCAUCUCGCAAAAGCUGUGUGUGUGUCUGCUCCAGAGUCUCCAGGCAUGGUGCAAACUCUCCCCACCAAUUCCACACCCCCAUUAAACUGUCCUCUCUUUCAGAGAGAGAGAAUUUUCUAACCCUGUUUUAAUUCUAAAUCUGCUGAUUACAUAUCCAGAUUGUCUUUUGUUUCCCUCCUCGAUGACAUUGGUCUUUUCUCCAACCAUCUCCUAUUUUCUGCCUUCUUCCAUCACUAUGGCAAGAGGCCUUCAGUGGGAGGACAAGCAGGAGGCAGGGACUCAUGGAAUUUAUGGGGAAAGUUAAAAAAUAAUAUUCCUGGAUAUGCGUAAAUGGCAUUUUCUUGAUCUUUAGUAAAAUGUCAAUAAAGGCAUCUCUAGAAAACUUUGCUCUGUGUAUUUGAGUGUAUCAUAAAACACAGGAAAAUCUGUGCGCUUUCCCAACCUCCAGGUCUGUCCCGUGUGGCUCUCCUUUGCUCUCACAGAUCAACACUCCUAAGUCCCCCCACCACCCCCAGACACAAAGACAUUUUUUGUCUCUCUCCUACUGCGUUAUUGCUCCUUUUUAAAAUUCCCGG
rnacentral:lncRNA from 1 species